rnacentral:rRNA from 1 species
GUGCCAGCAGCCGCGGUAAUACCGGCAGCUCAAGUGAUGUCCCAUAUUAUUGGGCCUAAAGCGUCCGUAGCUGGCCGACCAAGUCUACCGGGAAAUCCACCCGCCCAACGGGUGGGCGUCCGGUAGAAACUGGCCGGCUUGGAACCGGAAGGCUCAGAGAGUACGUCCGGGGUAGGAGUGAAAUCCCGUAAUCCCGGACGGACUAUCGAUGGCGAAAGCACUCUGAGAAGACGGCUUCGACAGUGAGGGACGAAAGCCAGGGUCUCCAACCGGAUUAGAAACCUUGGUAGUCC